rnacentral:rRNA from 1 species
ACGGAGGAUGCGAGCGUUAUCCGGAUUUAUUGGGUUUAAAGGGUGCGUAGGCGGGCUGCCAAGUCAGCGGUAAAAUUGCGGGGCUCAACCCCGUCGAGCCGUUGAAACUGGCGGUCUUGAGUGGGCGAGAAGUAUGCGGAAUGCGUGGUGUAGCGGUGAAAUGCAUAGAUAUCACGCAGAACUCCGAUUGCGAAGGCAGCAUACCGGCGCCCGACUGACGCUGAAGCACGAAAGCGUGGGUAUCG